rnacentral:rRNA from 1 species
AUUGAACGCUGGCGGCAGGCCUAACACAUGCAAGUCGAGCGGAUGAGAGGAGCUUGCUCCUUGAUUUAGCGGCGGACGGGUGAGUAAUGCCUAGGAAUCUGCCUGGUAGUGGGGGAUAACGUCCGGAAACGGGCGCUAAUACCGCAUACGUCCUACGGGAGAAAGCAGGGGACCUUCGGGCCUUGCGCUAUCAGAUGAGCCUAGGUCGGAUUAGCUAGUUGGUGAGGUAAUGGCUCACCAAGGCGACGAUCCGUAACUGGUCUGAGAGGAUGAUCAGUCACACUGGAACUGAGACACGGUCCAGACUCCUACGGGAGGCAGCAGUGGGGAAUAUUGGACAAUGGGCGAAAGCCUGAUCCAGCCAUGCCGCGUGUGUGAAGAAGGUCUUCGGAUUGUAAAGCACUUUAAGUUGGGAGGAAGGGCAGUAAGUUAAUACCUUGCUGUUUUGACGUUACCGACAGAAUAAGCACCGGCUAACUUCGUGCCAGCCGCCGCGGUAA